rnacentral:lncRNA from 1 species
UAUUGGAAGCUAUUCGAGCAAGUGAACGCUGGCCUGAAGAGUCUCUAAUAAUGAGGUACCCAUCUGGAGCUAAAGUGCAUCUCUGAACUUCUUAAUUCUUCAUUAAAGGGAUGUGUUCUGUAUUCAUGGGAUGUUUUAAACACUUCAAGACGAAUGUUUCAUCAGAAGCACUAAUGGUUGCUGGCAUGCCUUGGAUAAGGUGGUGACCACUGGAUGUAAUUUGUUUCUGUUUACUGCAGAGAGCCAAAACUGACUCCAUUUGGAGUUGAGAGAAAU